rnacentral:tRNA from 1 species
GCACCUGUGGCUCAAAGGAAUAGGGUGCUGGCCUCAUAUGCCAGAGGUGGCGGGUUCAAACCCAGCCUUGGCCA